AAAAUGCGAUAAGUAAUGUGAAUUGCAGAAUUCAGUGAAUCAUCGAAUCUUUGAACGCACAUUGCGCCCGCCAGUAUUCUGGCGGGCAUGCCUGUCUGAGCGUCAUUUCAACCCUCGGGACCCCGUUCGCGGGACCCGGCGUUGGGGAUCAGCCCGAAGCCCCCCCCGGGGCGGGCGGCUGGCCCCGAAAGCUAGUGGCGGUCCCCCCAGCGACCUCCUCUGCGCAGUAGUAACUCACCUCGCAGCUGGACAGCGGGAGGGCCACGCCGUAAAACCCCCAACUUCUCAAAGGUUGACCUCAGAUCAGGUAGGAAUACCCGCUGAACUUAA
rnacentral:misc_RNA from 1 species